rnacentral:rRNA from 1 species
GACGAACGCUGGCGGCGUGCCUAAUACAUGCAAGUCGAACGCAGUGGGUACGGGUGAGUAACACGUGGGUAACCUCCCAUCAGAGGGGAUACCACUUGGAAACAGGUGCUAAUCCGAUACUGAUGGAUGGACCCUCGGUGCAAUAGCUAGUUGGUGAGGUAACGGCUCACCAAGGACACGAUGCCUAGCGGCCCUGAGAGGGUGAUCGGCCACACUGGGACGGAGACACGGCCCAGACGCCUACGGGAGGCAGCAGUGGGGAAUCUUGGGCAAUGGACGAAAGUCUGACCGAGCAACGCCGCGUGAGUGAAGAAGGUUUUCGGAUCGUAAAACUCUGUUGUUAGAGAAGCGGUAUCUAAACAGAAAGCCACGGCUAACUCCGUGCCAGCCGCCGCGGUAAUUC